UACAGAGGGUGCAAGCGUUAAUCGGAAUUACUGGGCGUAAAGGGUGCGUAGGUGGUUGUUUAAGUUAGAUGUGAAAGCCCCGGGCUUAACCUGGGAACUGCAUUUAAUACUGGACGACUAGAGUAGAGUAGAGGAAGGCGGAAUUUCCGGUGUAGCGGUGAAAUGCGUAGAUAUCGGAAAGAACACCAGUGGCGAAGGCGGCCUUCUGGGCUCAUACUGACACUGAGGCACGAAAGCGUGGGGAGCAAACAGG
rnacentral:rRNA from 1 species